rnacentral:rRNA from 1 species
UUAGGUUAAGUUAGAAAGGGCGCACGGUGGAUGCCUUGGCACUAGGAGCCGAUGAAGGACGGUACUAACACCGAUAUGCUUCGGGGAGCUGUAAGUAAGCUUUGAUCCGGAGAUUUCCGAAUGGGGAAACCCUCCAUCCGUAAUGGGAUGGAACCCUUGCCUGAAUACAUAGGGCAUUGGAGGCAGACCCGGGGAACUGAAACAUCUAAGUACCCGGAGGAAGAGAAAGCAAACGCGAUUCCCUGAGUAGCGGCGAGCGAAACGGGAUUAGCCCAAACCAGGAGGCUUGCCUCCUGGGGUUGUAGGACACUCUACACGGAGUUACAAAGGAACGGAGUAAAUGAACAGGCAUGGAAAGGCCGGCCAUAGAGGGUAACAGCCCCGUAGUUGAAACUUCGUUCCCUCCAGAGUGGAUCCUGAGUACGGCGGGACACGA